rfam:Brachypodium distachyon strain Bd21 chromosome 1, whole genome shotgun sequence.
UUUAUACUCCCUCCGCUCCAACAAAAGAUGUCUCAAAUUUGUCAAAAAUUGAAUGUAUCUAAACAUGACUUAGUGUAUAGAUGCAUUCAAAUUUUGUCAAAAUUGAGACAUCUUUUGUUGGACGGAGAGAGUACCUU